rnacentral:rRNA from 1 species
AGAGUUUGAUCCUGGCUCAGGACGAACGCUGGCGGCGUGCCUAAUACAUGCAAGUCGAACGCAAAACUUUUAACUGAUGCUUGCAUCGACCUAAAGUUUUGAGUGGCGGACGGGUGAGUAACACGUGGGUAACCUGCCCAUCAGAGGGGGACAACACUUGGAAACAGGUGCUAAUACCGCAUAAUACAGAGAACCGCAUGGUUCUUUGUUGAAAGGCGCUUCUGGUGUCGCUGAUGGAUGAGCCUGCGGCGCAUUAGCUAGUAGGUAGGGUAACGGCCUACCUAGGCGACGAUACAUAGCCGACCUGAGAGGGUAAUCGGCCACAUUGGGACUGAGACACGGCCCAAACUCCUACGGGAGGCAGCAGUAGGGAAUCUUCGGCAAUGGACGAAAGUCUGACCGAGCAACGCCGCGUGAGUGAAGAAGGUUUUCGGAUCGUAAAACUCUGUUGUUAGAGAAGAACAGGAGCGAUAGUAACUGCUCGCUCUUUGACGGUAUCUAACCAGAAAGCCACGGCUAACUACGUGCCAGCAGCCGCGGUAAUACGUAGGUGGCAAGCGUUGUCCGGAUUUAUUGGGCGUAAAGCGAGCGCAGGCGGUCUUUUAAGUCUGAUGUGAAAGCCCACGGCUUAACCGUGGAGGGUCAUUGGAAACUGGGAGACUUGGGUGCAGAAGAGGAAAGUGGAACUCCAUGUGUAGCGGUGGAAUGCGUAGAUAUAUGGAAGAACAUCAGUGGCGAAGGCGGCUUUCUGGUCUGUAACUGACGCUGAGGCUCGAAAGCGUGGGGAGCAAACAGGAUUAGAUACCCUGGUAGUCCACGCCGUAAACGAUGAGUGCUAAGUGUUGGAGGGUUUCCGCCCUUCAGUGCUGCAGCUAACGCAUUAAGCACUCCGCCUGGGGAGUACGACCGCAAGGUUGAAACUCAAAGGAAUUGACGG